rnacentral:rRNA from 1 species
AUGAUAGAGAUGACUGUAUCAAAGAAAAAGAUCAAUAUUUUUCGAAUGCCCCGUGAAUACCAUGUGUCCUUUUCCAAAAAGCAUUGUUCUAUCUAUAAGCGCUUUUCAGGUUUCACUAAAACCAGGACUGUGAAUAUCGUGUUAUCUUUUACUCCAUGUGUCGCCCGUGAACUAAUUAGUAUAUUAUAUUUUUUAUGUUGUGUAGAUCAUGACACCACAGAUGUGGGAGAGGCAGGUCGAAACACAGAUGAUGAUUACAGCAAAAGGUUAAAACCAGAGAUAGGAAUGGAAUUUGAGAAUGAAGAUAUAGCAUAUGAGUUUUAUAAUGCAUAUGCAGGACAUGUUGGUUUCAGUGUCAGGAAAUUUUGGCAUGAUAAAUCCUCAACGAAUGUUAUUCGAACAAAGAAAUUUGUAUGCUCAAAGGCAGGUUUCAAGGACAAGAGCAAGGAACAAUGCCAGCGGAAGCGAGCAGAUACAAGAGUUGGGUGUAUGGCAGAGAUGACCAUCAAAAUAAGUGGUAAUGGAAAGUAUGUUGUAAGCAGCUUUGAGGAUGCUCAUAAUCAUGAACUUGUAACUCCAAGCAAAGCCCAUCUACUGCGAUCCCAAAGAAGAAUUACAGAAGCUCAGAAGGCCCAGAUUGACAUAUUGAACGAUUCAGGUAUUAGACCAAAAUCUGGUCAUGAAGUGAUGAGUAGACAAGUAGGGGGUAGACGAUGUCUUAGCUUUGGUCAAAAGGAUUAUAAAAAUUAUCUCCGAUCAAAGCGUAUGCAGUCAAUCCAAGGAGACACAGGUGCCAUUCUUCAAUACCUACAGGACAAGCAGAUGAAAAUUCUUCAAUACCUAUAA